GGGAUUGUGGCGACGGGUGAGUACACGUGGGCAAUCUGCCCUUCACUCUGGGACAAGCCCUGGAAACGGGGUCUAAUACCGGAUAACACUCUGUCCCGCAUGGGACGGGGUUGAAAGCUCCGGCGGUGAAGGAUGAGCCCGCGGCCUAUCAGCUUGUUGGUGGGGUAAUGGCCUACCAAGGCGACGACGGGUAGCCGGCCUGAGAGGGCGACCGGCCACACUGGGACUGAGACACGGCCCAGACUCCUACGGGAGGCAGCAGUGGGGAAUAUUGCACAAUGGGCGAAAGCCUGAUGCAGCGACGCCGCGUGAGGGAUGACGGCCUUCGGGUUGUAAACCUCUUUCAGCAGGGAAGAAGCGAAAGUGACGGUACCUGCAGAAGAAGCGCCGGCUAACUACGUGCCAGCAGCCGGGGGUAAUACG
rnacentral:rRNA from 1 species